UUGUGACUAUAUCACGUUGAAACCACGGUUCUCUUCUGAUCACUGAAGAUAAGCAACGUCGAGCCUGAUCAGUACCUAGAUGGGUAACCUCUUGGGAAUACCAGGUGCUGUAAG